UAAUACUGAUGGUAUUAUUUUCUGUGACAGAUAUGCAGUGGUAGGUGUUUUGUCCCAGUCUCAAGCUGACAAUUCUUUUUGAGUGUAACUAGUAGAAGUCUAGUGAAAAUACUGAAGAAGUAUGACAAGAGAACAGGAGCACUUAUCAAGCAACCCUUCAUCGAAAAGGUGCCGCAGCAGCCAUUCUUUACAACUGAUCUCCUAUACAAACUCGUGAAGGAGUGUGUGGCUAUGCUCGACCACCUUUUCCCCAGCAACAACCUGUCAAUUUCAGCAGAAUGCGACGGACAAAAUGGAGUGCCAAAGCCGGCAUAAUCAGGUGGGAGGGUUCCGGAGUUGGAGGAGAUUAAAUAUAUGCAGAGCUUAUACAUGAAGAGCACCGUAGCAGCGCUGCGGUCCU